CGGGAGGCCUAACACAUGCAAGCCGAGCGGUAUAGAUCUUUCGGGAUCUAGAGAGCGGCGUACGGGUGCGGAACACGUGUGCAACCUGCCUUUAUCAGGGGGAUAGCCUUUCGAAAGGAAGAUUAAUACCCCAUAAUAUUUAGAAUGGCAUCAUUUUAAAUUGAAAACUCCGGUGGAUAGAGAUGGGCACGCGCAAGAUUAGAUAGUUGGUGAGGUAACGGCUCACCAAGUCUGCGAUCUUUAGGGGGCCUGAGAGGGUGAUCCCCCACACUGGUACUGAGACACGGACCAGACUCCUACGGGAGGCAGCAGUGAGGAAUAUUGGACAAUGGGUGCGAGCCUGAUCCAGCCAUCCCGCGUGAAGGACGACGGCCCUAUGGGUUGUAAACUUCUUUUGUAUAGGGAUAAACCUACCCUCGUGAGGGUAGCUGAAGGUACUAUACGAAUAAGCACCGGCUAACUCCGUGCCAGCAGCCGCGGUAAUACGGAGGGUGCAAGCGUUAUCCGGAUUUAUUGGGUUUAAAGGGUCCGUAGGCGGAUCUGUAAGUCAGUGGUGAAAUCUCACAGCU
rnacentral:rRNA from 1 species